rnacentral:rRNA from 1 species
GCUCAAAAUCUAGCCCUAUUUAUUCCUAUGCAAAAAUAAUCUACCUAAACGAAUUAAAACAUUUUAACAACUCAGUAAAGGCGAUUAAAAAGUUAAUUAGAGCUAUAACAAAAGUACCGCAAGGGAAAGAUGAAAUAAAAAUGAAACAAAUAUUAAGCACAAUAAAGUAGAGCCUGACACUUGUACCUUUUGCAUCAUGGUUUAACUAGUCAAAUCAAGCAAAAAGAAUUACAGUUUGACACCCCGAAACUAAGCGAGCUACUUCGGGGCAGCCUAACGAGCGAACCCGUCUCUGUUGCAAAAGAGUGGGACGACCCCCAAGUAGCGGUGACAGACCUAACGAGCCUAGUGAUAGCUGGUUACUUAAGAAAAGGAUUUUAGUCCUGCCCAAAGCAUUUUUAAUAGUUCCAAAUAAAACCUAUGCUUAAGAGUCAUUCAAAUAAGGUACAGCCUGUUUGAAACAAGGAUACAACCUGCACUAAUGGGUAAUACAUUAAAAACAUAAUAAAGUGGGCCUAAAAGCAGCCACCUUUAAAAUAGCGUCAAAGCUUACUUAUGAAAACCCUAAAUACCACAACACACCUACAACCCUUUACCCCUAUUAAGUACUUCUAUACUUUUAUAGAAUAUAUUAUGUUAAAACUAGUAAUAAGAAGAAGCCCUUCUCUUAAAUGUAUCUGUAAAUCAGAAAGGACAAACCACUGAUAAUUAACACCAAUGAACAUCAAACAGUAACUAAUCUAGAAAACCCUGUUUUACAAAGUGUUAACCUAACACAAGGUCAUUACAAGAAAGAUUAAAAGAAAAAGAAGGAACUCGGCAAAUAUUAACCUCGCCUGUUUACCAAAAACAUCGCCUCUUGACUAAAUAUAAGAGGUCCAGCCUGCCCAGUGACUAAGUUCAACGGCCGCGGUAUCCUAACCGUGCGAAGGUAGCGUAAUCACUUGUUCUUUAAAUGAGGACUAGUAUGAAUGGCACCACGAGGGUUAUACUGUCUCCUUUUUCUAAUCAAUGAAACUAAUCCCCCCGUGAAGAAGCGGGGAUAAAAAUAUAAGACGAGAAGACCCUAUGGAGCUUUAAACUUUAUAGCACUAGCCUAACAAUUCCCCACAUUUCAGAAUUUCAACAAUAACUCUGGCUUCCUGACUAUAAGUUUUAGGUUGGGGUGACCGCGGAGCAAAAAUUAACCUCCAUAUUGAACGGAAAUAAUCCUGAGCAAAAAGCCACAACUUUAAGCACCAAUAAAUUGACAUCAAUUGACCCAAUAUUUUGAGCAACGAACCAAGUUACCCUAGGGAUAACAGCGCAAUCCACCUCAAGAGCUCCUAUCGACAGGCGGGUUUACGACCUCGAUGUUGGAUCAGGGUAUCCCAGUGGUGCAGCCGCUACUAAAGGUUCGUUUGUUCAACGAUUAAAACCCU